AUUCGUGAAAUCGUUGUGUUGUACGAUCCACAAAUUGUUGCAUUACCCUUUUCAUUUCGGG
rnacentral:sRNA from 1 species